CAGAGGGUGCAAGCGUUAAUCGGAUUUACUGGGCGUAAAGCGUGCGUAGGCGGCUCGCUAAGUCGGUUGUGAAAUCCCUGGGCUUAACCUGGGAACUGCAGUCGAUACUGGCGGGCUAGAGUACGGUAGAGGGUGGCGGAACUCCGGGUGUAGCGGUGAAAUGCGUAGAUAUCCGGAAGAACACCGAUGGCGAAGGCAACCACCUGGGCCUGUACUGACGCUGAGGUACGAAAGCGUGGGGAGCAAACAGGAUUAGAUACCCUGGUAGUCCACGCUGUAAACGAUGAGAACUUGACGUCGGUUCGCCUAGCGAAUCGGUGUCGUAGCUAACGCGCUAAGUUCUCCGCCUGGGGAGUACGGCCGCAAGGUUG
rnacentral:rRNA from 1 species